rnacentral:tRNA from 1 species
CGGGGUAUGGCGCAGUCCGGCUAGCGCACCUGCUUUGGGAGCAGGGGGCCGCAGGUUCGAAUCCUGCUACCCCGA